rnacentral:rRNA from 1 species
AUUGAACGCUGGCGGCAGGCCUAACACAUGCAAGUCGAACGAUUGGCAGACGGGUGAGUAAUGUCUGGGACACUGCCUGAUGGAGGGGGAUAACUACUGGAAACGGUAGCUAAUACCGCAUACCAUCGGAUGUGCCCAGAUGGGCUUGGCUAGUAGGUGGGGUAACGGCUCACCUAGGCGACGAUCCCUAGCUGGUCUGAGAGGAUGACCGGCCACACUGGAACUGAGAAACGGUCCAGACUCCUACGGGAGGCAGCAGUGGGAAAUAUGGCACAAGGGGCGCAAGCCUGAUGCAGCCAUGCCGCGUGUAUGAAGAAGGCCUGCGGUUGUUAAAGUACGUUCAGCGAGGAGGCGGUACCCGAAGAAGAAGCACCGGCUAACUCCGUGCCAGCAGCCGCGGUAAUAC